rnacentral:rRNA from 1 species
CCGCAUAAGCGCACGAGGAGACAUCUCCUUGUGUGAAAAACUCCGGUGGUACAGGAUGGGCCCGCGUCUGAUUAGCUGGUUGGCAGGGUAACGGCCUACCAAGGCAACGAUCAGUAGCCGGUCUGAGAGGGUGAACGGCCACAUUGGAACUGAGACACGGUCCAAACUCCUACGGGAGGCAGCAGUGGGGAAUAUUGCACAAUGGGGGAAACCCUGAUGCAGCAACGCCGCGUGAGUGAAGAAGUAUUUCGGUAUGUAAAGCUCUAUCAGCAGGGAAGAUAAUGACGGUACCUGACUAAGAAGCUCCGGCUAAAUACGUGCCAGCAGCCGCGGUAAUACGUAUGGAGCAAGCGUUAUCCGGAUUUACUGGGUGUAAAGGGUGCGUAGGUGGCAGUGCAAGUCAGAUGUGAAAGGCCGGGGCUCAACCCCGGAGCUGCAUUUGAAACUGCUCGGCUAGAGUACAGGAGAGGCAGGCGGAAUUCCUAGUGUAGCGGUGAAAUGCGUAGAUAUUAGGAGGAACACCAGUGGCGAAGGCGGCCUGCUGGACUGUUACUGACACUGAGGCACGAAAGCGUGGGGAGCAAACAGGAUUAGAUACCCUGGUAGUCCACGCCGU